UACGGAGGGUGCAAGCGUUAUCCGGAUUCACUGGGUUUAAAGGGAGCGUAGGUGGGCUGGUAAGUCAGAGGUGAAAUCUCCGAGCUUAACUCGGAAACUGCCUUUGAUACUAUUAGUCUUGAAUAUUGUGGAGGCUAGCGGAAUAUGUCAUGUAGCGGUGAAAUGCUUAGAUAUGACAUAGAACACCAAUUGCGAAGGCAGCUGGCUACACAUAUAUUGACACUGAGGCUCGAAAGCGUGGGGAUCAAACAGGAUUAGAUACCCUGGUAGUCCACGCCCUAAACUAUGGAUACUCGACAUACGCGAUACACUGUGUGUGUCUGAGCGAAAGCAUUAAGUAUCCCACCUGGGAAGUACGAUCGCAAGAUUGAA
rnacentral:rRNA from 1 species